GGAAGUAAAAGUCGUAACAAGGUUUCCGUAGGUGAACCUGCGGAAGGAUCAUUACUGAUUUAGCGAACCGAGCAUUAGCGAGGUUUUGCGAUCAAUUUAUAUUUAAAACCCACUCUUUAAUGUAUAAAAUUUUUGUAUUAAUGAUAAAUUAAAAGAUCACUUUCAACAACGGAUCUCUUGGCUCUCGCAUCGAUGAAGAACGUAGCGAAGUGCGAUAAGUAAUGUGAAUUGCAGUAUUCCGUGAAUCAUCGAAUCUUUGAACGCAUAUUGCACUUUCUGGUAUUCCGGAAAGUAUGCCUGUUUGAGGGUCAGUUAAAUAAAAAUCGGUGUUGUUGCCGCUUCUCGUGGUGACGCGUCGGAAUUGAGUUGUCUUACCUUCGGUUAAGUGACUUAAAAUUUUGUAUGAUUUUUGAACGUAUUUAAAUUUUAUUUGUACGUUUGAGAUAUCGAAUGUUUAUUAGGUUCGGUCAUUCUAAUGACCCGCGCCUAUAGUUUUUCAUUAAAUGACCUCAAAUCAGGUAAGAAUACCCGCUGAACUUAAGCAUAUCAAUAAGCGGAGGA
rnacentral:rRNA from 1 species